rnacentral:misc_RNA from 1 species
UCCAGAGUUUCUCCGGCAGUCCCAUAUGAGUGCCCGGCAUAAUCCGCUGGCAACAUAUGGCGGGGGUUGCGCUCGUUGCGGGACUUAACCCAACACCUCACGGCACGAGCUGACGACAGCCAUGCAACACCUGUCCCCGUUCCCGACUUUACGGGUCGGCAACCCUUUCAGGCGCCUACUUCGGGGAUGUCAAGCCUGGGUAAGGUUCUUCGCUUUGCAUCGAAUUAAGCAACGCGCUCCGCCGCUUGUGCGAGCCCCCGUCAAUUCCUUUGAGUUUUAGCCUUGCGGCCGUACUCCCCAGGCGGCGAACUUAAUGCGUUAGCUACGGCACGGAACCCGUUGAUAAGGUCCCACACCUAGUGCCCAACGU